UGCAAGGUUGAUUCAACAUACACAAAUCAAUAAAUGUAAUUCAUCACAUAAACAGAACUAAAGACAAAAACCACACGAUUAUCUCAAUAGACACAGAAAAGACCUUUGGUAAUUUAUCAUUUUUAUUAAUACAGAUAGUAAAUUAUUUAAAUGGCCUAACACUUGUGUAAAGCCAUCUGUAAAAAGAACAAAACUAUAAAUUAAACUGUGUCUAGAAAUCUACCUUCCUUUAACUCCCAGACCUGUCCACUCCUGAGUAGCUGGGACUACAGACAACGUGCCACUGCACCCAGAUAAAUUUUCUAUUUCUAGUGUUUCUAUUUUGAAAUGUUUAUGUCAAACAUGGCAAUUUCUUCCCAAAUCUUAUGUCAUUAAUAUUUUCCUGUUUAGAAAGAGAUGUUUACAUUUUUAGAAAUAUAUUAAUAAGGUCAGAUUUCAUACACUACAGAUUCAAACUGAUAUGGUUCCCCCCUUGGAUCCUUAGCAAUGAACAAAAUUCAAGCACUGAUUAUUUAUAUGGUUACCUAUUAUACCUGAUCCAUUUAUCCUGGAGUUAAACAAGAAUGUUAAUAAAACCUCCCAAGAAAAAAAAAACCUAGGACAGAAGGCUUCAUUGGUGAAUUCUAUCAAAUAUUUAAAGAAGAAUUAAUUCCAAACACUUCCAAAAAAGAGGUGGAAAUACUUUUUAACUCAUUCUGCAAGGUCAGCAUUAUGCUGAUAACAAACCCAAAGACAUAACAAGGAAACUAUAAACCACUGUGCCUUAUAAAGAUGCAAACAUCUUCAACAAAACUAGCUAAUGAAUCCAGAAGCAUAUUAAAAAGAUUAUACGUUAUAAUAAACUAGGAUUUAUCCCAGGAAUGGAAAUUGGUUCUACAUACAAAUAUCAAUCUAAUAUACCACGUAAAUAAAAUAGAGGGAAAAAACACAAUCAUCUCAACU
rnacentral:lncRNA from 1 species